rnacentral:rRNA from 1 species
AACGAACGCUGGCGGCAGGCCUAACACAUGCAAGUCGAGCGGACCUUUCGGGGUCAGCGGCGGACGGGUGAGUAACGCGUGGGAAUAUGCCCUUCUCUACGGAAUAGUCCUGGGAAACUGGGGGUAAUACCGUAUACGCCCUGUGGGGGAAAGAUUUAUCGGGGAAGGAUUAGCCCGCGUUGGAUUAGGUAGUUGGUGGGGUAAUGGCCUACCAAGCCGACGAUCCAUAGCUGGUUUGAGAGGAUGAUCAGCCACACUGGGACUGAGACACGGCCCAGACUCCUACGGGAGGCAGCAGUGGGGAAUCUUAGACAAUGGGGGCAACCCUGAUCUAGCCAUGCCGCGUGAGUGAUGAAGGCCUUAGGGUUGUAAAGCUCUUUCAGCUGGGAAGAUAAUGACGGUACCAGCAGAAGAAGCCCCGGCUAACUCCGUG